ensembl:snoRNA SNORA23 small nucleolar RNA, H/ACA box 23
GCAGUCAUGUGUGCAUAGUUUCUCAUCUGUGUCUAGUGGUAUGGUCCAUUUGCGUUUUGCAUUUAGACUAUAUUGCUCACACACUACCUGUGGCCAAAGAGCAACUUGAGUUCAUAGUACUGAUGUAGUGAUGUCGAAAGACAUACUUACCACUGAUCAGCCUCCAAACUCUCAAACAAAA